rnacentral:piRNA from 1 species
UGAAAAAGUCGGCUACAUCUGUGAAC